AGUUUGGACACAACUGUGAGUCCAAACUUUUGGUCUGUACUGUAUAUACUUGACUAUGAUUACUUAUAUUUCUUAUGUAAUGUAGAACAUUGUCUGUUUACAAAUCAAUUUAUAUAACCUUUAUGUGUACUGUUCUGUCUCUUUCCACCUACAUGUAUAUCUAUCUAUGUCUGAAGAUAGAUAGAAUUAUAUAUCAAUAUAUUGGUAUACAUGCUAGUUUACGUUUUUGAUGUUGUGAAAAAAAGAUUAAUAUGAAAGUGGUUUUCUAAUAAUCACAUUGCCAUUAAUCUAAUGCUAUUUUGUAGGAGUAGAACUUUUAAGAUGAUGAACAGCUUUGGCUUAACAACUUAAACUGUGCAUUUCUGCCUGAAAUAUAAUGUAGAUUAUGAUUUAUAUUGCUUUAUUACAUGGUUGAUUUAUUUUAAUGACAAUGGAAAGAGUCUGAAAUAAGUAUAGCAAAAAUGUUAAAUUAUUCAUAAAUGUCAUGACCUCUAUAUGACAAUCUAAUACUUUGACAAAUAUUUUGUCUUUGUAAUGAGUCCGCUGUUACUCUUCUUUCUUUUUUCAAAAAAAUAUAUUUACAAGGACCAGAACUUUCCAUCAACAGCAGAAGCUGUUAAUACCAUGCGACUCAACAUUUCUUCCACACUUCUCUCAGAAUCAGAGUCAGUGGAGACUCUACAGACUCUGCAGACACUGUGGCAGUGAGGACACAGAAGAUCAUAUGUGGGUAAGACAACAAUGUAAUGCAGUGAAAAAUCAAUUCAAGCAAACCAUAUACCAUCCUUAAAAUAGUUGCAAAGUAUGUAGAUAUACAAAAAUAAAUCAUAAUAAAAUAAAUAAACACCCAAGGCAGGUAAGUGGGAAGUUAAGUUUUUUUUUUUUAAGUACAGUCGUAAAACAUUAAACACAGUUGCUUAUGGUCCUAGAAUUUUUUUACCUCCAUACAUGUCAGGAACAUGCUGUCAUCUCCUCAAAUAAAGUUCUACCAAUCACAUAUUGAUAAUUAAGAAGAAGCUUUAUGUUGACAAAACCCAAUAUCACCUUCAGUAAACAGAUAAGGAACUAAAAAAAAACAUUCUUUAUGUUGUUAUUUGACCAUUUUGUAUUAUUUAUUUACAGAUCACAUGUGACAGAUGCAACUGGAGGUACCACCAAGGCUGCAUUAAGGUCCCACAGCCUACUGCUGUGCAAUGUGUUUAUAGAUUUUAUGUUUGUACCAAUCUAAUUCGUUAAUGACUGCAGUUCAGUGGAUUUUCAGUUUAAACAUGUGACAUAAUUUUUGUUGACUUAAUUGGUUUUCCAAAAAUUUUUGUUAUGAAUAUUCUUUUGUUGAAAUUAAUGAAAAAAAGCCAUUUAAUUUUUAUGUUAAACCAAAAUAAAAAUGGUUUGUGCAUGCUUUACAUUUAGCAAAGAUGCAUUGUCAGAUUUAUUUCCUUCAGUAUCCUUGCAAUAGCGAUAAUAAAGAAAUAACAUUUUCUACAUAA